rnacentral:misc_RNA from 1 species
GAGAAGAACGUAGUGAAAUGCGAUACUUGGUGUGAAUUGCAGAAUCCCGUGAACCAUCGAGUCUUUGAACGCAAGUUGCGCCCGAAGCCAUUAGGCCGAGGGCACGCCUGCCUGGGCGUCACACGUCGUUGCCCCCCCCAUCUACUCCUUCGGGAUUGCGGGGGGCGGAUGAUGGCCUCCCGUGCGCCUCGCCGCGCGGUUGGCAUAAAUGCCAAGUCCUCGGCGACGCACGCCACGACAAUCGGUGGUUGCGAAACCUCGGUUGCCCGUCGUGUGCGGUCGUCGCGCAUCGAGGGCUCGAAAAAAUUGCCGAGUUCCGGCUCGGCUUUCAACGCGACCCCAGGUCAGGCGGGGUUACCCGCUGAAUUUAAGCAUAUCAAUAAGCGGAGGA